GUAGGCAUGGCCUCCCUAUCCCCUCAGCUAGGCCUGUGGGUAGAAUAACAUACAGUCCCUUAUUCUCCAAUUAAAAAUGGGAACACAGAAUAUGACACAGGAACCCAUGCAAACAAAGGGAUAGAGCAUUUGAAAUAAAAAUGCCAAGGAGGGUGAGGUUAGCAAACCCAGUUCGGAUGAAGAAGCGCAUCUUUAUCUCCGUCCACCUGGCCGCCUGGGCCGGAAUCCCGAGCCCGUGACACGCUGCUCUCCUUCCACCCCACCUCAGCUCUCAGAUCGUCCACUUCUCUCCCUCCCCACCCCAGCCCUACCUCCCACCUGGGUCUUUUCUAAACCUCCAAACAGAGAAACUCCUAAAAAUCCAGCUCUGAUCUGUCACUCCCCAGUUUAAAACUCAGAACCAGCUUCCCACUGCCCUCAAUUCCCUAAUUCCCACUGCUCAAUUCGGCUAAAGUGCUUACCAGACCCCGCCUCCUCUUCCAACCUAGCACCGGCUCCCAAACUGCAGUCCUGGUUCCAGCCCCAAAACAAAAAUAUUUCCAGCCCUUCAGCCCUCCAGGCAAAGCAAGAUAAGGGGCGAGACCCCAGAACCCUCAGAACUCAAACCAAGUUCCCAGCUUCCACUUCCAGGUGAAUUGGUCUCACCACCUCACCCCACCCCCAGGAGAUAGAACCUUCUAGUAAAAAUGAGAAAAUCCGGCCGGGCGCGGCGGCUCACGCCUGUAAUCCCAGCACUUUGGGAGGCUGAGGCGAGUGGAUCACCUGAGGUCGGGAUCACCUGAGGCUGAGGCUGAGGCAAGGAGAAUCGCUGGAACCCAGGAAAGAGGUUGCAGUGAGCCGAGAUCGCACCAUUGCACUCCAGCCUGGGCAACAAGAGCAAAACUCCGUCUCAAAAAAAUAAAAAAGAUGUUCAGAGAAACAGUUCCAUUUACUAAGUCACUGCUGGUGGCCAAAGCCUAGUUAAUGUUCUGAAAAUCUCCAUCGUGUUUGUUCCUCUUCUGUGAUUCUUAUUUUCUCUUCUAUUUUCACCUGCCAUAUUUUUUCCUGAGGCUGACAACUGUUUGGUAGGAUAUAAGAGGAUUUAAAACUUAGUAAAGCAAAUUACUUGCCUUUGUUAAAUUCUCUUCCUUGCUGGCGUUAUAUGGUUUCAGAAUUUUAGCUAUGACUGCAGGCAGGGGUGGAUUGCAAAAAUUGCUGAAUGGGG
rnacentral:lncRNA from 10 species